GGAAAAACUUGGGCCACCACUGGUUCAUAAAAGUGCCUUUGUGUAGAUUUUAAAAGGUGCCGCCUCCGGAAAAAGACAGCCCAUGGCUUGAGUACCGUGGACUUUGUAAACUAUAAGCCAUAGAGAUUCAUUUGGCUCAUGGUUCUAGAGGCUGACAAGUGCAAGACUGAGAGACUGCACCUGGGGAGGACCUUCCUGCUGUAUCAGAACUUGGCGGGAGGCAUCACAUGGCAGUUAGACAGUAAGAGAGAAAGAGUAAAAGGUCUUCCUUCCGUUGGUUCACCCCCCAAAUGGCUGCUACAACCGGCGCCAUGCUGAUCUGAAGCCAGGAGCCAGGUACUUCCUCUUAGUCUCCCACGCGGGUGCAGGGGCCCAAGCACCUGGGCUAUCCUCCACUGCCUUCCUGGGCCACAGCAGAGAGCUGGACUGGAAGAGGAGCAACCGGGACUAGAACUCAGUGCCCAUAUGGGAUGCUGGCGCCGCAGGCGGAGGGUUA